rnacentral:rRNA from 1 species
UGGGGAAUAUUGGACAAUGGGCGAAAGCCUGAUCCAGCCAUGCCGCGUGUGUGAAGAAGGCCUUUUGGUUGUAAAGCACUUUAAGCGAGGAGGAGGCUACUUGGAUUAAUACUCUAGGAUAGUGGACGUUACUCGCAAAAUAAGCACCGGCUAACUCUGUGCCAGCAGCCGCGGUAAUACAGAGGGUGCGAGCGUUAAUCGGAUUUACUGGGCGUAAAGCGUGCGUAGGCGGCUUUUUAAGUCGGAUGUGAAAUCCCUGAGCUUAACUUAGGAAUUGCAUUCGAUACUGGGAAGCUAGAGUAUGGGAGAGGAUGGUCGAAUUCCAGGUGUAGCGGUGAAAUGCGUAGAGAUCUGGAGGAAUACCGAUGGCGAAGGCAGCCAUCUGGCCUAAUACUGACGCUGAGGUACGAAAGCAUGGGGAGCAAACAGGAUUAGAUACCCUGGUAGUCCAUGCCGUAAACGAUGUCUACUAGCCGUUGGGGCCUUUGAGGCUUUAGUGGCGCAGCUAACGCGAUAAGUAGACCGCCUGGGGAGUACGGUCGCAAGACUAAAACUCAAAUGAAUUGACGGGGGCCCGCACAAGCGGUGGAGCAUGUGGUUUAAUUCGAUGC